GCCCGGCGUGGCGACCACGGAGCUCGGCAGCGACACGAAAGGGACGUGCGUCGCGAAGAGACGAGGGUCGGGGAGCCUGUCCAGGUCCGGGACCCUGUCCCGCGUGUAGAGCUGGUACUCGAAGAACUUGAUGAGGUCGUGGGGGCCCCAGCUGUUGAGAGGAUGCUGGUCGGCGGCGGCGGCGCCGACGACGGGACGCUCUCUCCGGUGCACGGUGGCGUACAGGAGCGACUUCAUCCACGUGGUGCCGGACUUGGGCAGGGUGGCGAUGAUGACGUCCGACGGGCGCGCGCUGAAGCACGCGUCGGUGACCAUGGCGCCCACUAUGCCCACCUCGCUGCAGUGCCAGCCUUGGCCGUGGCGGUAGAAUUUGUUGUUGGACAAGCCUUUGGAGCUCGGCAGGGA
rnacentral:misc_RNA from 1 species